AAUCUGGUGAUUCUGGCAAUUAGGAUGCGCGGUUCCUCCUGGAGAUGAAUGUGGACGGAAGCGGGAACCGCUGGAGGAACUCGGCAGGUUUGGAGACAAAGAAUAAAGAACAGUACAGCGCAAGAACAGGCUCUCCUGCCCACCAAGAUGUCUUUCUAAACUAAAAAAAUGUUUUGCCUCCACAUGAUCCACAUUCCUAAUGCGGUCUGUUUGGGACCUGUCUUGUUGUCCUAUCCAUUGCUGGGAGAAAGUGAUGACUGCAGAUGCUGGAGAUCAGAGCUGAAAAUGUGUUGCUGGAAAAGCACAGCAUCCAAGGAGCAGGAGAAUCAACAUUUCAGGCAUGAGCCCUUCUUCUAUCCAUUGCUGGAGCCUGUAGCAGUGUGGGAUGAACCCACCCUUAGAAAGAAAUCUGAAGAUGUACCAUGAGACUUUCAGGGGAUACUGAGUGUUUGGAAGGAAGCAGACAUUUGUAAUCUUGCAGUAUAUUAAUAAAUCCAGUGAUAUGUUAAAGAUUAGCAUCUGCUACUUCAUUAACUGACUUUGAAACAAAGUAACCCAUUUUCAAUAAGUAUUCAGUCAAAGAAAUAUUGUUCAGUCAUUGUUCAAUUUCAAAGAUUUAAGAAAAUUUCGACAUGCACCUGUAUUGAAAAUGUGAAUGAAAUCUUAAUGAUUUUAUUAAAUCAUUAACUCUGCUAUAAUUUGAAGAAAUUCAACAGAAACUUAAGGAAACGCUCUGUUUCCAAACUGAAACACUGCAAGUGAGCAGUUCUAAAAAAGGAGAAGGUGAAGAUUUUUCCAUCUGCUUGAUCAAUACACGUGCUCACAGUUAUUUCCGCUGUUCGAGAUCGGAAACUUGUAGAAAAUGAACUGCUAACAAGAGGCCGAGACCAUGAACAAUGGAGAGAAGUGGAAAAGAUCCAAGCUGAUCAACUGUUCUGUAGCAAUUUUUCUCCCCGGAAAUCUAACACUGGAAGCUCAGCAGUAGUGAGCGGAGUCCCGGGAAUUGGAAAAUCAACAGUGGUACAAAAAUGGUUUAUGAUUGGGCCACUGGGAGAAUAUACCCAGAGUUCCAAUUUGUAUUCAGUUUUAAAUUCCAGGAUUUGAACAUUUUCAACUUCAGAUAAACCUGAGGAAUCUGGUAUUGGAUCAGUAUCCUUAUUUUGGGAGUGUUCUGGGAGAACUCUGGAAGAACCCAGAGGGUUUGCUGUGCAUAUUUGAUGGUUUGGAUGAAUUCAAGGACAGUAUUGACUUUCUAACAGCGAAGUUCAUGUGCACUGAUCCUGAAUGCUGGUGUAAUGUAUCUGACAUUGUGUACAGUUUAAUCCAGCACAAGCUGCUCCCUGGAUAUUCAGUGCUAGUGGUCAGCUGUCCCAUUGCAUUGCAUUUAUUGGAAAAGGCUGAGAUCAGGGUCUAGACUGAAAUCCUGGGAUUUGUUCAGAAUGAGCAGAAGGAACAUUUCAUCAGGUUUUUUGAGGAUCAGAUGGUGGCAACAGCUGUUUUCAAACACGUGGAGGCGAACAAGAUCCUGCAUAUCAUGUGCUACAACCCUUCAUAGUGUUGGAUCCUCGGUCUCUCACUGGGUCCCUUCUUCACACAAAGAGACAGGAAACAGCAGCAAGUUCCCAAGACCAUCACCCAACUAUAUUCCUACUAUAUUUACAACAUUUUGAAAAACCAUGGCUGGAGAUCAGAGACCCCUGUGAUAUGUUCCUGAAGCUUGAUGAGAUGGCUUUCACUGGUGUGUCUGAGAAGAAGAUUGUGUUUAGAAAUGGAGAUUUGAUCCAAUACAACCUGCAUGCUUCGCAGUUCUUAUCAGCGCUCCUGAUGGAAUUUUUUGGAGAUGAUUCUGUCCAGGGUGUGGUUUACACAUUCCCACAUCUCACCAUCCAAGAAUUUGUAGUUGGACGCACACAAUUCCUGAUUCCAGUCUCUAGGCAUUAAGAAGCUCCUCAGUGAAGCCCACAGGAAGAAUGAUGGGCGAUUUGAGAUACUUCUCUGUUUUAUUGAUGGUCUCACCUCCUGACAGGCAGCUGAGCCCUUGGAGGAGUUCCUUGGUCUACUUGAUAAGCAGACAAUCCAUCAAGUGAUUAACUGGGUGAAGGAGAAGAUUAAAGAACAGAUUGGAUGUGAAGGGAGUGAAAUUUGUAAAAGGAAAAUCCUGAACAUGUUCCACUACCUGUUCGAGGGUCAGAGCAGAAGCAUAGUGAGACCUAAGAAACACUUCAAUUUCUUCGACUGAAAUUGACUCCUAUUGACUGUGCAGUGUUGUCCCAUGUCAUUGGACUCUGUGAUAAAAUAAAUGAAUUAAAUUUAGAGGAAUGUAAUAUCGCA